AAGCGUCAACAAAAUUUUCAUUGAAGUCUCAGCGCAUUACUAGAAUUUUGGUUGCUGAUUUAUAUUGUAUACGUAGAUUUUCAAGUUUUUAUCUACGAAGUUCGCAACCAGUAGUGAAUCUUUCGGUAAAUGACAAAAUAUGAAGUCUCAUAAUGCCGUUUAACAUUAAAAAUGUUUUGAUAGGCACUGUUUGGUAACAAAUC